UAACAUUUUAAGUUUUCAAUCUUUUUUUUUUCUCUCCUAAAAGCUAUGAAAAUUCUGGUCGUGACUGUAUGUGCAGCCAGACAUCAAGUCAUCAACCGUGAUAGCCGUCGUUCACUGGCAUCGUCCAUUGCCACCGAAAACCGUUAGCGACUGUUGGGAAAAAAAAGACACCCCUUUAUACAUUUUUUCACGAUGCACUCAAAUCCAAGCUUGAAGAUCUGUCGUCUGGUGGUGGUGGUCUCGGGAUAUCAUUGCCCCACUCGUCGUAACAAAGUUUCUCACCGUACGGAUUCAUGAACGAUUGUGUCGUUCGCCAAAAAAUCUCAAAAAUAGAUUUUGAUGAGCAGCGACGUCUUGAGCAGCGGAGUCUCUCGCAGCGAUCGAUGAACACUCGAACCGAACUCGCCCAUCCUUUUGGGCACAAGGGGGGCGAGAACCAAUCCGAGUAAUCAACCGCUUCUUUUUUAAUCUGCCUCCCGCACUAUACGGCUUUUUGUCUUCUUCCUUCACUUGAAUUUCCAAAUCCGGCUCGCUCUCGGCCACGUGUCCUUUAGCUGUCUUCGUUCAUCGAGUAGGCGAAUGUAAGUUUGCCUGAGUACGAGUAGAGGAUUGGUUGACAGUGAGAAACCUCUAUCUGGUUGUGGCAACGGUUUUCAAGCGAUCGGUUAACUAAAGGGCGAAAGAGUUUCUAUCAUUUUUUUUUCAGGUUUUUCAACAUUCAAUCAAAAGUUCUAAUUUAGUCUAAAUUGUUCUCCAAACGUUUUGUCGUUUGGAUUUUUUCUAUGUUAACCGGUUGACCCAGUUGAGAACAGAUGAGUAUGGGACAAACCGGUAGAGGAGAUACAGGUUGGGGAUAAAUUUAGUUUUAGUUUUGGUUAGGGCUUAUUGAAUAAAA